CCUACAGCCAGACAUACCCCAGCUGAUCUCAAGUUCCCCAGAAGCACUCAGACGCUUACCCACUCCACACACCAGUGACCAGCAGGCAACUAGGUUUGGCGAGGAUUCAAACACGAGCCGCCUUAGCCAACUACGACACCCAGCCAGUCAAGGAGGUGGGAGAGACUUGCUGGAUGAGGCGUUGGACCAGUUCACUGUGAAAGAAAUCAGUCACCAAUGGGAAUUAUAGUGAGUAACAUUGCAGGUUUACUUCACAUAUAUUGAUAAAGGCGCUAACAUCACUUGACUGUGUUUGUUGUUGUGGGCGACACGGAGUAUUACUAAGAACAGCACGGAUUAUGGCAAGAUUAGCAAUAUCCUUUACAUGAAGACGUAGGGGAGAGAGAGAGAGAGAGAGAGAGAGAGAGAGAGAGAG